rnacentral:rRNA from 1 species
AUUGAACGCUGGCGGCAUGCUUUACACAUGCAAGUCGAACGGUAACAGGCCGCAAGGUGCUGACGAGUGGCGAACGGGUGAGUAAUGCAUCGGAACGUGCCCAGUCGUGGGGGAUAACGCAGCGAAAGCUGUGCUAAUACCGCAUACGAUCUAUGGAUGAAAGCGGGGGACCGUAAGGCCUCGCGCGAUUGGAGCGGCCGAUGUCAGAUUAGGUAGUUGGUGGGGUAAAGGCUCACCAAGCCAACGAUCUGUAGCUGGUCUGAGAGGACGACCAGCCACACUGGGACUGAGACACGGCCCAGACUCCUACGGGAGGCAGCAGUGGGGAAUUUUGGACAAUGGGCGCAAGCCUGAUCCAGCAAUGCCGCGUGCAGGAAGAAGGCCUCCGGGUUGUAAACUGCUUUUGUACGGAACGAAAAGGCUUGGGUUAAUACCCUGGGCCGAUGACGGUACCGUAAGAAUAAGCACCGGCUAACUACGUGCCAGCCGCCGCUGUAA